UACGUAGGGGGCGAGCGUUGUCCGGAAUCAUUGGGCGUAAAGCGCGUGUAGGCGGUCCGGUAAGUCCGCUGUGAAAGUCGGGGGCUCAACCCUCGGAUGCCGGUGGAUACUGUCGGGCUUGAGUACGGAAGAGGCGAGUGGAAUUCCUGGUGUAGCGGUGAAAUGCGCAGAUAUCAGGAGGAACACCGAUUGCGAAGGCAGCUCGCUGGGACGUAACUGACGCUGAGACGCGAAAGCGUGGGGAGCAAACAGG
rnacentral:rRNA from 1 species